GAGGGUGUAGCUCAAUGGUAGAGUGUGUGCUUGGCAUGCAAAAGGUCAUGGGUUUAAUCCCCAGUACCUACU
rnacentral:tRNA from 1 species